UACACUCUUGAUCUCUCUCUUAAACAACUCUUAUAUUCCUUUUUUUUUUUUUUUUUUUUUUUUUUUUUUUUUUUAUUUUUUUUUUUUUUUUUUUUUUUUUUUUUUUUUUUUUUUUUUUUUUUUUUUGUUUUGAAGAAGUGUUUUCCAGAAUGUGUGGACUUCAUAGACAUCCACCUCUUAUUUUCAGAGGCAGUUUCAUACAAUCAAAAGUAUGGAAUGAAACUAUUCUGCUGCCCAGUGUCAAGGUCAGCUGUCCUCAGUCAUUGUGUGAAGCAGCCACGGAAAGACAGAAGAUGAAAGCUCCUAUUCCCAACUUGAUUCUCUUGUAUGCUACUCUGACCCAGAGCUUGAAGGUUGUAACCAAAAGGGGAUCAGGGUUCAGGGAAAAAUUCAGCACCUUCUCUUCGAGAGAGUCUAAAAGUCUUGACUUGAAAGUGAACUUGUGA
rnacentral:lncRNA from 1 species